UAGCCGGGGCGAGAGAAAGGCGCGUGAGCGGUGGUGUGAAAGGUGCGAGAGGCUGAAAGGGCGCGUGGAGCGUGCGAGUGAGUGAGUGAGUGAGAGGCGCGCGAAUGAGGCCCCGCGCUGCGACGUUUACAAUUCUGUUACACGUUGAUCUUAUUUGAUCGGGGCGAAGGGCCUGCCGCCGCGUUCUCGCCCCGAAAUGAGAAGAGCCCCUUCCCGUGAAGCCCUUGCCAAGGGCGCUGUACGGAGAAGAAGCUGGUCAACCGAGCCGGCGGCACGUUUUGAGUCGGAAGUGAUGAAUUGAUCAGAUAGAUGAGGCCCCGAGGCUGGGCCCGCCCUCCUCUCGGCCGAUGUGUAUCGAGGCGAUUCUGAUCCGA
ensembl:scaRNA